rnacentral:rRNA from 1 species
CCUACGGGGUGCAGCAGUGAGGAAUAUUGGUCAAUGGGCGCGAGCCUGAACCAGCCAAGUCGCGUGAGGGAAGACGGUCCUAUGGAUUGUAAACCUCUUUUGUCGGGGAGCAAUAGACGCCACGCUUGGCGUUCCGCGAGUACCCGAAGAAAAAGCACCGGCGAACUCCGUGCCAGCAGCCGCGGUAAUACGGAGGUUGCGAGCGUUAUCCGGAUUUAUUGGGGUUAAAGGGUGCGCAGGAGGAAGAUCAAGUCAGCGGUAAAAUUGAGAGGCUCAACCUCUUCGAGCCGUUGAAACUGGUUUUCUUGAGUGAGUGAGAAGUAUGCGGAAUGCGUGGUGUAGCGGUGAAAUGCAUAGAUAUCACGCAGAACUCCGAUUGCGAAGGCAGCAUACCGGCGCUCAACUGACGCUCAUGCACGAAAGUGUGGGUAUCGAACAGGAUUAGAUACCCGAGUAGUC